rnacentral:rRNA from 1 species
GACGAACGCUGGCGGCGUGCUUAACACAUGCAAGUCGAGCGGAAAGGCCCUUUCGGGGGUACUCGAGCGGCGAACGGGUGAGUAACACGUGAGUAAUCUGCCCCUGGCUUUGGGAUAGCCACCGGAAACGGUGAUUAAUACCGGAUACGACCACUUCUCGCAUGGGGUGUGGCGGAAAGCUUUUGCGGUGUGGGAUGGGCCCGGGGCCUAUCAGCUUGUUGGUGGGGUAAUGGCCUACCAAGGCGACGACGGGUAGCCGGCCUGAGAGGGUGACCGGCCACACUGGGACUGAGAUACGGCCCAGACUCCUACGGGAGGCAGCAGUGGGGAAUAUUGCACAAUGGGCGCAAGCCUGACGCAGCAACGCCGCGUGAGUGAUGAAGGCCUUCGGGUCGUAAAGCUCUUUUAGUGGGGAAGAAUCCCACCCGGACUAAUACUUCGGGUGUCUGACGGUACCCACAGAAAAAGUUCCGGCUAACUACGUGCCAGCCGCCGCCGUAA